rnacentral:lncRNA from 1 species
UUUUCCUGGGAUGGGAUGGGGUGGGGGUAGAAAUUCGCUGACAAUUUUGCUGUGGUUUUUCAUCUUGAUUUAAUUCAGAACUACCGGGCUUUGUGGAGGGAAUAGCUGAUUGCAGGAAUGCAUUGUACUGAUGCUUACCAGAUACUUUUUUAGAUGGGAAAAUCUUUCUGUGUCAUGAGAAAGUGUGCAAAUGUUAGUUUUCUUGUAAAUCAGAGUGAAACCAGAUUUCAGGAGGUUUCAGUUUCUCCCAAACACUGAGUUUUGGCCACCUUCAGCUCUCUGGUAGGUGGCUGGGGCUGCUGAGUGACCUCACCCCAUGGCACAAGGCGUUGAAAAACCUGAGGCAAGAUGUGGUACCAGGCCACGUAUUUUAUACUGCGGAAGAGCAAAACUUUUCUUUCUUGUAGCCUUCUUUAGCUUUUGCAUUAUGUCUUAGUGGAGACUUUCCGUUUCAUUGUUCGAGUCCAGUAACAACCACAGUUGUGUUUGCGAGAUUUGUGUGAUGACAGCCCGAGCGCCUCCCCAGCAUUUUGUUUCUUCCUGUGCCAGGGUGCUGGCUUAGCCCGCAUCCAGCAGCACCCAGGGCUUGCUCUCCCACGCUCUGCUCAGCACAUCCCACCUUGCACCGUGCUGGCAAAGGUGAGAAUGGAGAAGGACUGGUAAAACACUUUUUUCCAUCUUGCAGAUUGCACUUGCGCUGCUUAUCUGGCUGCUUGAUCCAUGAGAACGUGUCUCGGAGCAUCUGGAAACGUGUGGAUAGCUUCCAUCCCCUCCCAGAGACUUGCGGGUCCUGGCUGCGCGCAGGAGGAGGAUGGGAGAUUUGGAGCCGUGGCCGCUCUGCAUGGCAACAUGCCUGUGAGGUUUGCUGUGCUUGGAUAGAGCAGAACUGUGCAAAAACAGAACAAGAUGGGAUUUUUCCAGGUUUAAUUUGAGCUUUAACUUGUUCCAAGUGUAACAUUGAGAUCUUACCGCUUCUUUUGUUUUCCACGCUCCGCUGCGCUCUGUGGCAGCAGCAGUCACAAGUGUCAGACCAUCAACUAAGCCUGGUUUUGAGUUGAGUGUGAAGGAAACUACACUGACAAUGAAAACACUCGCGGGGUAUUUCCAUGCCAAGGCUGUGUGCAGGUUUGGCACCCCUCCUCCCUUUGCACACCCCACAGUGAUGUUGGAGCUCAGUGGGUGAAGGUGGGAGCGGGGCCACUCGUGGCAGCCAUGGUGCAUGGGUCCGGUGGGAUUUGCGUCUCUAUUUCUCUGUUGCUGUUCUGAGUGGAGCUUGUGUGAGUAAACCUAUUGUGGUUUUAAGUUAACGUGCAAUUGGACAAGGAAGAUUAUUUGAGUGUUUGCUCUGUAUGUUUCUCCUUUGUCUUUUGUCUUGCUUGACUGAUACACAGCAAUGCACUUUGGCAACCUCAGCCUACCCCUCUACUCUCAUUAGCACUCCAGCAUGUGUUUUUACUUUAUGGAGGGCCGCACGGCGUUGCGGAUGGCAAUGGGAGAGGAGGUGGUGUGGGUAUGUGGCAACCACUUCUAGCACUGACAGCAUCCUGGCAUUUUUGAGAAGCCAGAGUUGUCACACGGUUUGUUCUGAAAGCCAUUUGCAAUCUUAACUGUAGUAACAGUCAUAAUCAUCGUCCCGCUAGUGCAGAGGAUGUGUGGGAGAAACAGGCCUCCUUGAAAAUUCCCUCCGAGGCCGUGCCAAGCCUGAAGCAAUCUUUUUUUCAUGACGGAAAGCCAUUCUCACGGCGGUGGGUAGCAGCCCAGCUGCGACGUGUCAGCGCCGAGCGCUGCGUCCCGCUCUGGAGCAGCACGGCUCCGCUGCAUCCUCUCGUCAAGUGUGUAGGAGGCGGCGUGGUCGUUUCUGCAGAAGCAGGGAAAUGCAGCCCUGGCUGUGCUGCGAUGUCCUCUGAGUCAGCAGAGCGGCCCUGUGCCCUCCCGGCCUCGCAGCCUGCUGCAUGGAGCGGCGGUGCCGCAUGGCAGCCCCUGGGACGCAGCGCAGCCACACACAACGGAUGGGGCUGUCAGAGCCGUGCUGUGUGCUUAUGGCUGGGGAGGUGCUCUGGGCACAGGGCUUGUCGCUGCUGCAGAAAAUUGCCCCACAGGGGGUCGUUUCUUGUGCUUCUUCCCAGCCUGAUAGCGUGUGGUAGGAUGGAGCUUUGGAAGCUGGAUGAAAAUCAGUUCUGAGUUUAAAAAUGCAGCCAGGUGUGGUCGGUCGAGUCAUUUUUCUGCCUCCUGAUGCUUCAUAGACAUGUCAGCAGUGGACAUCAUCACAAGCAUAAGGAACGAAGUGAUCUAAAACUCUCCACCAAGCAGGGAAGUAGCAUUAAUCUUGUUUUAUUCAGAGGGAGAUGGAAAUAAAGGAGUUUGAUACAGCUUGUCCAACAUCACAUGGAGGAUCUCUUUUACAAAAACCAGAUCUCUCAUCUCUUAAUCUGAGGCAUUAGCUGCAGCAACAUCCUUCUUCCUUAACGUCCCUUCAUGCAUGCAGUAACUUUGCACUAACGGUCUGUUUUUAUUGGGCAUCGCCUUGAGAAAUGAUUUCUUUGAGCCCCGGCCAACUCACUCACUGGCUUUUGUUCAGCUGUAAUGAGAUGGCUUAACAUAAAUUCAGGAGCAUGCCAGGGCUUUGCACCUGAACAGGCAGCCAGAGGUCUGAACCCUACGUCCAACACUUAGAAAAACAUCCCCGGAUGUUGUUUGCAGAGAAUCAGUGAGGAAGAGGAUGAAUGCAGAUGUGUGACACGUGCCAGCUGCAGCGAUCUCAGGUACUUGGGCCUGAUUCUUUCUCGUGUUACGCUGUAUCAUUGCUCCCUGGUUCAGUCUGCAUCUUUUCUGUCAGAGAGGCAGGGAGGGGAAGAUGUGGCCUCACAUCAGCGAUGUUGGGCCCAAGCAUGACUCCAGAGAGGCUGGCUGAUUGGGGGCAGAAGGAAGCGAGGUUUUGGUGGUGGUAGAGGGGCAGUGCUGGGUCCUACAGCAGAAUGGGGCAGUGGGAGUGCCAGGGCCUUCCGUGCCACCCUGAUUCUGAACAGUAUUGCUGUGACUGACUUUGUUUGCUGUUUGCAAUAGUUUUCUCUUUGGGUCCCAGACCAGGCAGUUUUUGGCUUGGUUUUAAUUACCAUCUGACCUCCUCACUGCUAGUUCUCUUCUGCACUUGCUGUGUUGCAGUCAUUUUGCUCUGGGCGGUAUUCUGGGAAAAACUAGGACAAGCUCCUUGGUGCCUUUGGUAGAUGUUAUGCCUGGAAGGUGGCCCAGUGCUGUAAGAAAUGCUCCUGACUGAGUAAGAGAAGCCAAGAAGUAAAAAGUUAGGAUAGCAUUCCAGUUAAAACAUGGGAGCACCUCUUGCCAUUUCAGAGUGGCUUAGCCUAUGUCAUCACAGUGCUGAAAGAAAGGAGGGUCUGGAUGCCGCAGCUCCCAGGAGAGUACUGAUCAUAUAAACAACAAUGAAAAGCUUCCAGUGAUAGCCUGGAACACCACCUUCUGUCUGUCUGUGUAGUGCUGGGGAGGACAGCCCCACAAGGCAGGCCCCAGCGUGCGCUCCUGUCGGUGUGGGUGCUGCUGGCAAGAGGUGGUGGUUCUGCUAUGGGUUUGUCAAGUCCUUUUUCUAACGGGGCUCUGGCCUGAUGGUGCUGUAGCUGUGUAAAGGGUGAAUAUUGAAAUGUUAUUAUCUAGUCCUGAGCAGGCACAAACUCGCUGUUUUUCAUCCCUGCUGAAUUUGCCAUCCCUACUGAGUUAUUCUUAGAAUGUUGUUGAAUAAAAGCCUAGCUUGUCAGCAUGGCUUCUUUUUGAUUGUAUUUGUGCACUGAGUCUAACCUACGGACAAUGGCGAGCGUCAUACUGAUUUGUGGAAAUGCUCCUAAUUCUUUGUCUUGUGCCUUUUUAAAUGAAGCAGUCUCUGAAGUGUUUAUCUACAGCGCAUAAAAGCCCCUAUAAAUGGAUGCAUAUUCCUAACUUUAUAAGACUUGCAUAUUAAUCUGCUUAUUUUCUGCCUGAACAAAGGGCCUCCGGAACCCACAAACGUAGUCAUAAUUCUCCUGAUCUGGUUUGCUGCAAGGUUUUGCUUGACUACACAGAUGUUUUCCAUGUAUUUGGCAAAAGAGGGGUCAAAGCCUGCAUCUGGCCCACUAUUUCUGGCAAAAACCCCGAUGUGCUUAAUCCUUUUUGAACAUGAAUAUUCUGAGAGCUCAUUUGAUUUAUUAACCUGAUUAUUUUAAUGUGGAGAAACAAUGUGGAACAGUGACCUUCGUUCAGGAAAAUGCUUGUCCAAGUGUUUCUGCUCUGAAUCCGUCCAAGCUCAAUGCAGAGUGUGUGAAGGACUGGUGUACACCACAGGGCUACUCAGGGACACAGGUAAGCCUCUUUGCAAGACUCAGGUAUGGUUGGCUCUUGUGCUCUGCGCUGUGUAGUGGGACCUGAGCCAUGAAGUAAUGCAAACAAGGUCUGGAGGAGGGGUUAGGUUGCUUUUCCCCGUAGCUGAGGAGUCCCAGCCUGGGCAGUAUUGCAUGGGGCUCUUCAUACAGGUGUGGGCUGAGCUCACCUGAAAAUCACAGCAGGGCAUGUGGGGACUGGUCAUGUGUAGUAUUGCUGAAUGAGCAAGAAGAGUUGGUUUUCAGGGGAUGUUACACCAUGCGGUUUCAUUAAACACUCCUCUCCAUCUCCCUAAAGAGCAGGAGAUCACCUCUUCCUGUCUGCUUUGGGAACGUGCAGCGAUAUCCCCAUUCUCUGCUGGGUAGAGCUAUCUGAGUGUCCCCAGUGUGUAUUGAGCAGGGCGCUGUACAGACAUGAGGCAGAUGGAUGCCAUCCUUGAGGGCUUUGCAAUAGAAGUGUAUUUCCUCAGUGAAUGGCAGUGCUGCAGGAUGAGUAAUGCCCUUAACAUUUUAUACGGAGCUUCGCAGUCUGUAUGACGGGGCUGUAGUCUGGGUCACUAUUCCUCCCUUCCUAUUACUCACAGAUAAACUGACUAAUUCACACAUUUUUGGCCAACAGUUUUCAAAGUUGGCUGCCUAAAAGAAAGCAUCUUUAACGAGAGCGGCUGGGUUUCAGAAGCUGCUGAGGAGCCACUGAUGCCAAGCAGAGCCCAAUUUACAAUCACUGAGCCAAGUUUUUCUUUAUAACUGCAAACCCUGGUAAGCAUUAUCACUGUAGCUGGGAUUGGAAGGGUACCGGGCUCCAGCCAACCCCGAGAGCAGUGCAGCAGCCAGGAGCAGGCCGGGCAUGCAGCCGGGAUGCCCAGGGAGGUAUCUGCGGGGGAUGAGCACUGCUUUUGCAAGCUGGGUGUUGGAAAAGGAAACCGAUGGAAACAAUAACCGAAGCCAAUAAACAAUCCUGUAUGCAACAAACUUUAAAAUUCUCCAUUUCGUAAGAAAUAGCAAUUGCUCGGGGCCAGUAUCAUAAACGCCCAUCUCAGAGUGCUUCCCUCAGCUCUGACCAUGACCAGAUGUUUAGUCAAAUCCUGUUAACCUCCGUUUCACAAGUUCAGGCUCUUCCUGUGCUCGGGGCCAGAACCAAAGCUGGCUGGUGUGAUGGAGGGCCUCCUUGGGACACAGGGGCUCCAGGUCGGGACUUGAGAUGGUUCGUGUGAGUAUUGGAAAGCAGUUCUCAAACAGCUCUCACUGUGUUUUGAGUACUGCUCGCUUCUGGGCUUUGAAAAUGUGUCAGUGUAGGCAUCUGUGAAAAUCAGCCUCUGUGAGAGACACUGAGUGAAACCUGGGGAUGAGGAAGGACACACGUCUAAAGGCUCGUGAAAAGCUGAGCUCACACAACUUGUGUUACAUGUUGGAUGCAUUGUAUUCUCCUCUGUUGCAGAGAAAUCUCAAUGGGAAAAGAAAUCUGGAUGUUUCAAAACGUACUUCUUUUCAUUCUGCAUGUAUGGCAUGGAUUGAAUAGCAGUCAUCCAGAAAGCAGAAAUACCAGUGUCAGAGUCAGAACGCUUAUACAGGGUAGAGAUUUGCUGUUCCAUUUCACUCUUCUAUCCUGGUGUGACUUUGUGACCUCAAGAAAUCCCUUUCUAUCAUGAAAGCUGUCUCCAAGAAUUGGCACCUUUGUGAUUACAUCUCAUUUCUGGUGCUGGAGAGCUGCAUCCAGGAGCUCAAGCUGUGAAGUGGUGAACAAAGCCCUCUGCUAUGUUGUGCUUCUUCACAUAGAUGAAAAUGGACACAAAGAAGCUGGAUUGUGUCUUAAGGUGAAGAAAGAUGCAGCAGCAACUUUGUGAUGGUGCUCCUGGAGAGCAGCGCGGUGCAGCUGGGCUGUGGGGACCACCAGCAUCCCUGCCUCUGCAUCACCCCAUCCAGCACUGGGAAGCACUUCUGUAGGCGUGGAGGUUUCCAUCUUCCAGGCUGUUUGGGCAUGGAGUGCUCCAACAAGGUCACUGACUUGCCCUGUUAUUCUGAAGGUCUCCAUAUCCAUGUGACAUGUGCAGUCCAUGUGAACUAUCUACAGACAUUAGAGAUUUACACUUUUUGUAGACCUUUGAGGAUGCAAAUCCUACAAGUUGCACUUUAAAGAUCUUCUGCUUGGCGUCACAGCCCCAUCCGUGCCAUCUGGAGGAGCGGAGCAGCCCCGAGCUGGCUGAUGGAGACAAGCUGAAACCAGACGUAUAUCUGUGGAGAUCUAUUCUUCUGAAGCACGGACAGAUUUCCUGAGCGCCACCAUUCCAAAGGCAGGCACAGGGAUGCAGCACCAGGCACCAAAGCAUUGUCCAGCCCAUCAGCACAAAGUGACAUGAGAGGGUGUCUGGACUAAAGUAUAGGCAAGAGAAGCUAAACUAAGCCCUACUAAGCAGAGCAACGUCCCAGUCCUGCAAGAAGCUGGUGCUGAAGUGCAAAAGGGUCUGCAAAAACUGAAGACAAAGGAAGCCUCAAAAUAGUGAAACUUCAGAUGAGAAAUUCUUGUGUCCUCAACCAUGGUUGCUAAAGAGCUCCGCUGGGAACACAGGCACAGCUCCUGCCUUUGUGGGAGCUAACAUUGAACUCCUGUGCUCGGCGACCACCUACCGCACUGCACGAGCAAGAGGUCACUUGUUGGCAUGCAGCACCAGGUACAGCGGCAUUUCCUCCCUGGUGGUCUCGGGAGGGGCUCAGAGGAGGGCUGCCUGGGACCCCAAGCUCCGGCCCUGUGCACCAAGAGCAGAGGUGCAGGGUUAGCCACACCACGGCAUGAGCUCUUCAUUGUCCACUACUGGGUUUCAACACGCUUCGGGAAGGCGCCAUUCCUUAGGAGCUGUCUUAUGCUCUACUGCCUACGUGAAAUGCAGAUGGACCCAGUGGUCUGCCCAAAAUGAAAUAAAAGCUGGAUGUGCUGUUCAUUCCAGAUGUUUCCAGAACAGAUGCAAAACAUUCCAGGGUCGCUCUUCUCAAGGUGUUGGGGUCACUUGCUGGAUUGUUUUCAUUGAAGGCUCGGUACGACCCAAGUCACCGAUCCUUUCCAGUUAAGUCACUUCAGAUGAACACAGUGAAAGCCAAUAAAUAAACAGGAGAACUGCUGAUUGGAAAUGUUUUCCUAUUGCUGCCACCAGUAAAAGCAGCCAGCAAUCUGCUGUGUUUGCAGGGUGAAACAGAGUACAGACUUUUUAGUCCUCAAUCCAGCGCUCACCUAAGAGAUUUAGGGCCAGAUAUCCCAUUUAUUUACACCUAUGUAAAAUUAAGGACAUUUCAUCCAAGUUAAUGUACCACCAGGUGGUGGAUUUUGCCUCAGAUCUCAUUAUUUGUUGGACUUCAAUUUAUAUUCAGCCACUGUGCAUAUACACACAUACAAAGCGGUAAUUUUUUACCAACAAUAGGAGUGGAGUUUGCUAUAUAAAUCAGCGUUUCUCAGUCAAUAUGUUGCAACCCCUGCAGGGGUUAUAAAAACCAUCUGGGGGCCUGUAAAGCACCGAAAAUUUUAUAACAAUCUAAAGCAAAGAAAAUGUCAUUUCUUCCACUCUCCAUAUAGCAGCACCAUUCUGUUGGCAGCCUGUCAAAACCAUCCAAGAAACAAUAAAUUC